CCCCAAUCAAUGUCUCCCUUCGGGUCAAGAGUUCAGGGACUCAGUGUGCUGGGCUGAGGGGCCCCAGCUGAGAGGAGGAUGGAUUUGGGGCCACGUGGAGACAUGAUUCAUUCUCCUGCUAAAGGCCGAUGCAGGCAAAACGCUUGUUCCUGGCACCCAGAGCUGCAUGUGGGCAGGGAGAAGAGCAGAAAUGGUACUUCCUCGGAGGCACGGGCUGCUCCUGUUUGGGGAGCCAUCAUUCACAUUUUGAUCUUGAGGAUGUCUUAGGGUCCUAUUCUUCGUUCCCUCCUCCCAGCCACUGCGUUUAGGGCACAAUGCAAUGAUACAACUUUUUCCUUCUUGAAAAAGGAGUCAUUGCCCUGACCUCUCGUGUCGUCUGUGGGGCUCCAGGGCAUCCUCGAAGUCCCUAAAUAGGUUGAAAUAAACAACUCUCCAGCAGGUGAGGA
rnacentral:lncRNA from 1 species